AUUGAACGCUGGCGGCAUGCCUUACACAUGCAAGUCGAACGGUAACAGGUUAAGCUGACGAGUGGCGAACGGGUGAGUAAUGUAUCGGAACGUGCCCAGUCGUGGGGGAUAACUGCUCGAAAGAGCAGCUAAUACCGCAUACGACCUGAGGGUGAAAGCGGGGGAUCGCAAGACCUCGCGCGAUUGGAGCGGACGAUAUCGGAUUAGGUAGUUGGUGGGGUAAAGGCCCACCAAGCCAACGAUCUGUAGCUGGUCUGAGAGGACGACCAGCCACACUGGGACUGAGACACGGCCCAGACUCCUACGGGAGGCAGCAGUGGGGAAUUUUGGACAAUGGGCGCAAGCCUGAUCCAGCCAUGCCGCGUGCGGGAAGAAGGCCUUCGGGUUGUAAACCGCUUUUGUCAGGGAAGAAAAGGUUCUGGCUAAUACCUGGGACUCAUGACGGUACCUGAAGAAUAAGCACCGGCUAACUACGUGCCAGCCGCCGCGGUAA
rnacentral:rRNA from 1 species